AGUGAACAGGGAAAAGCUCAAAGUUGGAACCUCCAAGCCCUAGGUUUGGCGGAUUGUAAACUAAAGCUCUCGAGUAGUUUGGCUGGCCCAGUAAAUAAGUUCUCUGGAAAGGGACGACAAAGAGGGUGAAAUCCCCGUUUUUGGCUGGAGCACAGUCUUGCGUUUGCUUGGAAGUGAAGAGUCAGGUUGUUUGGGUAUUGCAGCCUAAAGUGGGAGGUAAAUCCUCUCCUAAAGCUAAAUAUUGACGAAAGACCGAUAGCGAACAAGUACCGUGAGGGAAAGAUGAAAAGCACCUUGAAAAGGGGGUCAAAAAGUACGUGAAAUUGCUGAAAGGGAACCGUAUGAAAUCACCUUGUUUCUUUGGUAAUCAAUCUGGGCUUUGGGCUGGAUGCACUUGCCAGUGAAUACAGCCUACGACAAUUUGAUUUGAGGGAAAAGAUUAGGGGGAAUGCGGCCUGGGCUUCGGCUUAGGUGUUAUAGCCCUUUGAAAAAUACCUUGGAUUGGAUUGAGGACUGCAGCGGGCCAUUUUGGGAUGAACUG
rnacentral:rRNA from 1 species